UCUUCAUUUCGAACACUCUCUCAUCGGUCAGAGAAGCGAGAAAGCGUAGGAAAUGAGGAGA
rnacentral:pre_miRNA from 1 species